rnacentral:lncRNA from 1 species
GGUCCAUAGGGUCUCAGAGGGUCUUAAAGAGUCGGGCACAACUGAAGCAACUUAGCACACAAGCACAUACAUAAGACAAUAAGAAAAAAGCUCCCACAUGCCAAAGUGGAGCAUCAAUUCCUACUCUUUUUUCUUUUCCCCUCCCGUCCCCCAAACAUGCUUCACAAACAUUAUUCCAUAUUUCUUGGUUCAGACAUAGAACUGAGCCCAAAUCUACUUGAAGAUGAAAGUUAGCCUUACAGAAACCAAACCAGGAGGUCUGAUUUUGGCAAGACAUAUCUCUCCUUUGCUUUGCCCCCUCUCCUCACUCUGUUUUUUUCCAGGUAGCCUGAAAUUUCAAGAGUGCCUUGGAUGCAUCUCAGCUGCCCUUCUCUGCCCUACUCUUUCAAUAAGUACCCAAAUAAGAUUUAUCUCUAUGUCAUCCAUGAAUGAUCUCCCCAUUAUGAGAGGAUUCUUUACCGCUGAGCCACCUGGGAAGCCCCAGCAUGUGGUUACUACAUACUUACUCAAUUUAACUGAAUUACAUGGAAUGAGACAAUUGCAAGAGCAUAACGAAAUCCUCUGCUUUGAAAUGGCACCUUGUGUAUGUUGUCAAUUUGUACAUGUACAAGUUCACACACGUGUGCACACCACACACCAAAGUGCUGAAAUAGACUUGAUUUUGAUGCCAAGGAUUGAAAAAUGGAAUUCCAUCUCUUUCUCUGCUUAUAAUGUUGAAUUCAUGUUUGUGUGCCUGGUAAGCAGAUUUGCAAGCUAAACUAACUCUCACCAAAUAGACUGGUAAAGAAAAAAAGCUUUAUUCAAGGAAGCUGCAAAUGGAAACUAAUACUCAUAACAUAGACCGAAGCAAAAGACAAGAAAAUGGUAGAGCAAAUAUUUCCUGUUCCUUGUAGAAAUGCUUCCUCUGUCAUAUCACAAGGUAAUGAUGAUGACAUAGUGAUAUGUGUCAAGGUAUUAGACACAAAGUUGAAAUUAUGUAGAAGACCAUUGAAUAGAAAUUGUAUCCACCAUUGUUAAAAAAUUCACAUUUUAAGUAUAUGCUUUGUCUUUUACAUCAGUUAAUGAGAUUUAGAAGACAACUUGAUAGCAAAUGUUUAAAAUUUGGGCAUUAAAAGCUAUUUUUAAUGACAACCGAAAGGGUUUUGCUUUUGUACAAUUUAAAGUAAAAUAAAUAAUGAUUCAUAACAGGUUUAUCUCA